rnacentral:lncRNA from 1 species
UUGGUCCAUCUAAGAAUAGAAUUCUCGCUUGUCAGGUAAAUUUUCUGUUUUUUCCUCUUGAUCUGGUAGAUUCAGAACAAUGCAAGCGAAGGAAUCCAUUGACGGAUUCAUAUCAUAACCUCCAGAAUUCACAGCAAAGUUCCUUAAAAAAAAAUAGAGAUCAAGAAAAGGAGGAGGACGAGAGAUAUGAUUACCUGGGGACGUUCCAAGAACUUUUCUUUCUGUUUUUCUGGGACAAGGGGGGCGAGGGAGGAAAGAACAGAGCUUUGAUCCCGUUCUUUGGGCAGAGAGGCGGGGAAUUUACGAUGAACGGGCCCUCGCAAAGGGCUAGGGUUAGGGUUUGCAUCUCGGGACGAAGAGGGAGCUCCACGCCUCUUGCUCUCCUCUUCCCGACCGUUGGCUGAGUCGGCACUUUCUUCCGGCCAGAACUAUUUAUAAGGACCUAUCGUCUAUCGGAUAAGCCCA